AGGAGCUCAAGAUGGAGCGUAAGACGCAUCUGUCGGAGGCCAAGAAAGCCCAGCAGAGUUUGGAGAGCACCUAUAAGCAGCUCGACAGUAGUAAGAAACGUUUUGAGAGGGAGUGGCGGGAAGCGGACAAAGCUGCUCAAUAUGCAGAGAAAACUGACCAGGACAUCAACGCCACAAAGGCCGACGUAGAGAAGGUAGUAGGACACCAACAC